GAUGAACGCUAGCGGCAGGCCUAACACAUGCAAGUCGAGGGGUAACAGGGUAGCAAUAUCGCUGACGACCGGCGCACGGGUGAGUAACGCGUAUGCAACCUUCCUUUAACUGGGGGAUAGCCCGGAGAAAUUCGGAUUAAUACCCCAUAGUUCUGUUGGAUCGCAUGGUUUGACAGAUAAAGUUUCGGUGGUAAAGGAUGGGCAUGCGUGACAUUAGCUAGUUGGUGAGGUAACGGCCCACCAAGGCUACGAUGUCUAGGGGUUCUGAGAGGAAGAUCCCCCACACUGGUACUGAGACACGGACCAGACUCCUACGGGAGGCUG
rnacentral:rRNA from 1 species